UACGUAGGGUGCGAGCGUUGUCCGGAAUUAUUGGGCGUAAAGGGCUCGUAGGCGGUUUGUCGCGUCGGGAGUGAAAACCUUGGGCUUAACUCAGGGCUUGCUUUCGAUACGGGCAGACUAGAGGUACGCAGGGGAGAACGGAAUUCCUGGUGUAGCGGUGAAAUGCGCAGAUAUCAGGAGGAACACCGGUGGCGAAGGCGGUUCUCUGGGCAUGAUCUGACGCUGAGGUGCGAAAGCGUGGGGAGCAAACAGG
rnacentral:rRNA from 1 species